ACACAUGUCAACUCUGGUCAACGGUCAACGGUCAACUUUUGCCGGACUCGGCGAGUGCACAAGGGCAACUCGGCAAGUCUAGACGUUUCCACCAACUGUCAAGGAUUCCCUUUUUACACGUCGAGUACUCCUGACUCGACNGAAUCGCGGGGCCACCCCGACUCAACUCGCCGAGUCUCAAGAACAACUCGGCGAGUCCCAGCUCGACUCAGUCCCCCUGACAACCCUCUAACUCGCCCUGACUCACUAAGUCAACCCAUGACUUGACUGGACCACUCAUUGGCCGAUUCAAGGCAAUCAUCAAGCUACUCGCCGAGUCUGCUCAUCGGACUCGGCGAGUCCAUGCCAUGAAAUCACUCAAACUCGCUUCUAAGGUCAUAUCUUGGUGUCCAUAACACACCCCAUGGCUCAUAGAUAACAUUUUGACCUAAGGCAUAAGGGUUCCAACCCAAAACCUCCAUUGAUUCCCAAAAAGGCUUGGGCAAAGGGACACUCUGGAUCUACAAGGGUUCAGAUCUAUGGUCUAAAUCUCUUAAAGGACCAAGGGAGCACAAGAUCUAGCCACAAAAAGGGUUUAAUAAACCCUAAAUCAAUGUAAACAUCAACAUAGGAGAGGAUAACUCGAAAGUAUUACCACAAUAGUGAUGCUCUGGACUCCAAACCUUCAGAAGAUGGCUCCUCUUGCUUUCCCCUUAGCUGAUUUUCCCUUUCCUUGCAAAAUGACACCUCCAAGAUCAAUAAUGGCCUCCUACUUUGCUCCAAACGCUCACACUCGAUUAGGGUUUCACUCAAGGGACUGGUGAGCACAAAUGACGGCCAUAAGGCCCUUUAAAUAGGUCCCAAACCCGAGAAAUUAGGGUUUCAUUAAACAGCGCAGACUCGCCGAGUCCAUAUCCUGGACUCGCCGAGUCCAGACGAAUCCCGCGUCCAGAAUCGCGACCCUACUCGGCGAGUCUGAGCUCCAACUCGCCGAGUCCCCUCUCAAAACACCAAAAAUCAAAACAAUAAAGGAUACCUGGAAAUCCGGGCUGUUACAAUUCUCCCCCACUAGAACUAGACUUCGCCCUCGAAGUCUCGCUCUGAAAAUAGCUCCGGAUGCUGCUCCCGCAUCUCGCGCUCCGGCUCCCAGGUCAUCUCUGAUCCCUUCCGGUGUUGCCACUGAACCAACACCAGAGGUACCUCCUUGUUCCUCAGAACCUUGAUCUUCCGAUCUCUGAUGGCCACUGGUCUCUCGGCAUAAUUCAGGCUCGCAUCCACCUGAAUAUCCUCUAAUGGAACCACUGCCGACUCAUCGGCUAUACACUUCCUCAAUUGCGACACAUGAAAAGUGUCGUGGAUCUGCCCCAACUCUGCUGGCAACUCCAAACGAUAGGCUACCCGGCCUACCCUCGCAAUCACACGAAAUGGCCCAAUAUACCGGGGCCCCAACUUGCCCCUCUUCCUGAAUCGAAUCACUCCUUUCCAAGGAGAGACCUUCAGGAGAACGAAGUCGCCGACCUGAAACUCAAGCUCGGACCGGCGUCUGUCUGCAUAACUCUUCUGUCGGCUCUGGGCGGUCAAUAACCUCUGUCUGACCUGCUGAAUCUGCUCUGUCGUCUGAAGCACGAUCUCUGUACUGCCCAUCACUCUCUGCCCAACCUCUCCCCAACAAAUGGGGGUCCGACACCUCCUACCAUACAACAGCUCAAAGGGUGGCAUACCAAUGCUCGAAUGAUGGCUGUUGUUGUAGGAAAACUCUGCCAAGGGUAAAUACGCAUCCCAGCUACCCCCGAAAUCUAACACACAUGCUCGAAGCAUGUCCUCAAGCGUCUGAAUCGUCCGCUCACUCUGACCGUCUGUCUGGGGAUGAUAUGCGGUACUAAAAUGCAAUCUAGUACCCAACUCCUCAUGAAAUUUCUUCCAGAAUCUGGAAGUGAAACGCACAUCACGGUCCGAAACAAUCGAGAUCGGCACCCCAUGCCGAGAUACCACUUCUCUCACAUAUAUCUCCGCCAACUUCUCCGCUGAAGAACUCUCACUGAUGGCAAGGAAGUGAGCGCUCUUCGUCAACCUAUCCACAAUCACCCAAAUUGCAUCAACUCCUCUGGCAGUCCUCGGCAAUUUGGUGAUGAAAUCCAUAGUGAUCUGUUCCCACUUCCAUUCGGGAACCUCCAAUGGCUGCAACUUGCCAUGCGGUCUCUGGUGCUCGGCCUUAACCCUACGGCAGGUCAAGCACCUCUCAACGAACCAUGCGACGUCCCUCUUCAUACAGGGCCACCAAUACUCUCUCCUCAAAUCCAAAUACAUCUUCGUAGCCCCCGGAUGGAUCGAAAAUUUCGACCGAUGAGCCUCCUCCAUCAAGGAAGUGCGCGUACCACCCACGAACGGUACCCAAAUCCGACCCUGAAAAGUCAUAAGCCCUCGCCCAUCCGUAACGAAUUCUGAAACCAAACCAACGACCCGUUCCCUCUUCUGCAUCUCCGGCUGCACAGCCUCGGCCUGUGCCCCACGAAUGGCAUCCAAUACCGGAGCUAUCAUGGUCAAUCUCAAACAUACAUCUCGCAAUGGAGUGCUCUCCGCCCUGCGGCUCAACGCAUCGGCCACCACGUUGGCCUUGCCCGGGUGGUACAGGAUCUCACAAUCAUAAUCCUUGACCACAUCUAACCACCUCCUCUGACGCAUGUUUAGAUUGGGCUGAUCCAUCAAGUACUUCAAGCUCUUAUGGUCCGUGUAUAUCGUACAUCGAACCCCAUAUAAGUAGUGGCGCCAAAUCUUGAGGGCGAACACUACUGCCCCCAACUCUAGAUCAUGCGUGGGAUAUCUUGUCUCAUGAGGCUUCAGCUGCCUCGAUGCAUAUGCUAUCACAUGACCCCUCUGCAUCAACACCGCACCCAACCCCAAAAUCGAUGCAUCACAAUAUACUACAAAAUCCUCCAUCCCUUCCGGGAGAGCUAAUACCGGGGCUUCGCACAACCUCUGGCGAAGUGUCUCAAAGGAGGUCUGCUGCUCGGGACCCCAUGAGAAUGCAACACCCUUCCGGGUCAACCUGGUGAGCGGCACUGCGAUCUUGGAGAAAUCCUUGAUAAAUCUCCGAUAAUACCCUGCUAAUCCAAGGAAGCUCCUGAUCUCAGAGGGUGACUUUGGCACCUCCCAACCCAUCACCGCCUCAACCUUGGCCGGAUCGACCAGAAUCCCUUCCUGGUUAACGAGAUGUCCUAGGAACUGGACCUCCCGUAACCAGAAAUCACACUUGGAGAACUUUGCAUAAAGCUUCUCCGAUCUCAGUACCCCAAGGACCUCCCUCAAAUGUUCCUCAUGCUGCUCCCUAGAUCUCGAAUACACCAGAAUAUCAUCGAUAAAUACAAUCACCGACCGAUCCAACAUCGGCCUACAUACCCUGUUCAUGAGAUCCAUGAACACCGCCGGGGCAUUGGUGAGCCCAAAAGGCAUCACCACAAACUCAUAAUGCCCAUAACGCGUCCUGAAAGCUGUCUUCUGGACGUCCUCAUCUCGCACCCUCACCUGAUGAUAUCCCGACCUCAAAUCGAUCUUGGAAAACCAAGAUGCUCCCUGCAACUGAUCAAAUAAAUCGUCGAUCCUCGGCAACGGGUAACGGUUCUUGACCGUCAGCUUGUUCAACUCCCGGUAGUCAAUGCACAUCCGGUGUGAACCAUCCUUCUUCUUGACGAACAGAAUAGGUGCUCCCCACGGCGAGCUGCUCGGCCGAAUAAAUCCCUUCCCCAGCAACUCCUGAAGCUGCGAGGAUAACUCUUGCAUCUCUGGAGGUGCAAGACGAUAAGGCACCUUAGCUAUAGGCGCAGCCCCCGGAACCAAAUCAAUACCAAACUCUACUUGCCUCACAGGAGGUACUCCCGGCAGCUCCUCGGGAAAGACAUCUGGAAACUCACAUACCACCGGUACCUCCCCAACUGAACUCGGUCUCUCGGAAGUCGCUCGCGUAUCCAUCACAUACGCCACAAAACCCUUACAGCCCUGCUGUAGACACUGCCUCGCCCUAGCGGCCGAACAAAAAGCUACUCCUGAACGUGUACCCUCGCCGUACACUGAAAGAACUCGUCCACUACGGUUUCGUAUGGUCACCAGCUGACGUUCACAGUCGAUAACCGUGCCGAAUCGGCUCAACCAGUCCAUGCCUACAAUGACACAGACAUCACCCAUCGCAAUAGGAAUCAGAUCAAUCGGAAACUCAAUCCCGAAGAUCUCUAACACACAUCCCCGGAAAACCUCUGUGGCACAAAUCACUCUAUCAUCAGCUAUGGAGACUCUCAGAGGCCGACUCAGUGCCUCACGACUAGCACUGAUAUGCUGGCUAAAGGCCAAAGAUACAAAAGACCGACUCGCACCCGAGUCAAAUAACACUAAAGCAGGUACGGAAUUCACAAGAAAAGUACCUACACAUAACAUAAUAUAAGCAUAACAUCAUAUGUCAAAAUAAAUACACGAAAGGAAACAUACCAGCCACAACAUCGGGCGCAGCGCGGACCUCCUCCGCAGUCAGCUGGAAGGCUCUCCCUCGAGCUCUCGGCGUCUCGGCCUUCACAGGCCGACUCUCUGUAACUCUGGUGGCGGCAGGAGCAGACCCCUGAGAUGCUCCGCGCAACUGCGGACACUCGGCCUUCCGGUGUCCGGUCUGGUUGCAGUGAAAGCACACUGCAAACCCCUUGGGGCAGUCCUUGGCCAUGUGCCCCUCCUUACCACAUUUGUAGCAAGACCCUGCUCGGCAGACUCCGUCAUGACCCUUGCCGCACUUUCCGCAAGUGCGGCCCUUCUGGCUCCCUGGUCUGGGAUCAGCAGGCUUGGCCCGCUUGGCGGCCGGCUGCGACAACGCCGGUCGCCGAUCCCUCCCCUGAGACUCUGCCUCCUCCCUGGCCUGGGUCUCAAGCUCAAUCUCCCUCUUCCGGGCAUUUGCCUGAAGCUCGGCAAAUGUCCGGUACGAGGAGUUCGCAGCGAACUCCCGAAUAUCCCGCCUCAAGAUGCUCAAGUAGCGGCUCAUACGUGCCUGCUCAGUGGACACGUGCUCAGGGCAGAACAUCGCCCUCUCGUGGAACAUCCUCGUGAUCGCUGUAACAGACUCAGUACCCUGCUUGAGGGUCAGAAACUCCUGUGCUAAACGCUCCCUCUCCACCUGGGGAACGUACUCAUCCCGAAACAUGGUGGUGAACCUCUCCCAGGUCACCGCAGAAAGCUCAGCAGGCGUAUAAUGCGCCGUCACAAACUUCCACCAGUCCUUCGCUCCCAAGCGAAGCUGGUUCAGCGCGAACCGGACCUUCAAAUGCUCAGGAGACGAGCAAGUGAAGAAACACCCCUCAAUAUCAGAUAUCCACCUCAUAGCUGCCACCAGAUCCUGAGUACCAUCAAACUCUGGUGGUUUUGUGUUGCUGAACUCACGGAACAGCAACGCAUCACCACCCUGCGGCCUCGCAGCAGCAAUCGCUGCGGUAGCCGCUGCAGCAGCAGCCUCAGAAAGAGCGGCAUAACGCUCAUCAAACGUCUCAAUCAAUGUGGUCUUUAUAGACCCAAACAUCUCCGGUAUCUCUGCCCUGAUGGCCGCAGCCACCUCCUCCUGAAUGAUCCGGCGGAUCUCCUCCUCACUGGUACCACUGCUCUCGGGCAUCAAACGUGUCCUCACCAUGAUCUACCUCUAAAAUACAACAUAUGAAAAAUUAGAAUCCACACGAGCAUGCUCACACUCGUCAACUCUUUCCUCCUUGUUUCCUGGCAUUCCAAAGAUUCUUACUUGGGCUGCACACCGCUCCGGUGCUUCCAGUAGUACGGGCCCAAUACUACUGUCCGCACCGCACCAGAAUACACUCCAAGUCCUCCUCUUCGGAUCCCAAGUCUCAAGUACUCUAUCAUGCGUAGACCACUCUCUAAUAGAUCUCUCAUAAGCCCCUCGCUGCUACCUACUCACUCUCAAGCAUCUCAUAGCAGCUCACAUCUCCCUAGGCUAAGGCAUCACAAAUCAGGCCACUCUAGUCCUAAUAGCAAUACCUAGCCUACUCUAACAUGCAGAUACAUCAUAUCAAUAUCAAUAUCACAUAAUAUAAAGGUAUUUUGGGAAAUCACCGUUCGGGCGCUGAGUGAUCGUACACACAUCUCUUGCUCUGCGUUUUUUUUUUCAAGAAUCUUUUACUCUUUUUGAAGAUACAUCUUAAAUCCUUAGUUUGAGUUCAAAUACGCCCGAAGGUGUACUCGAAUCCCUCAAACCAAGGCUCUGAUACCAACUUGUAACACCGAGAAUUUUCAAAAUAAUUUUUCGCAAUUAGGAAAACAUUUCUCAUUUAAUUUCAUAAAAACAUUAGGUUUCAAAUUCCAAUCUGUAUCAUACAUAUCCCAAGAUCACAUAAAUAUAUCAAAAGUCCCCCGCGUGUGUACACAUCAAGCCGGCGCCUUCCCACGGUCAUCGCUAGUACCUGAAACAACAACACUAACACUGUAAGCACGAAGCUUAGUGAGUUCCCCAAAAUACCACACAUAAAACACAUAUUAGCCACUCGAGGCUAUAACUCUAUGGGUCCGUGCACCCAACUCUGUGAACCCUCAGGUUCUAACUCUAGGAACCUUCCGGUUCCAACUCUGUAAUCAUGCACAGCAUAAAUCACAUAGAAAUAAUGCAGUACAACACAUAGCAUACACAUAACAUACAUACACUAACACAUAGCUCUGAUUACCUACUCAAGGUAAAGUAUAGUGAGAAGACUCACCUCGCGUAUCUCGGUAUCUCACGAAUCCUGGAAAUCCCUCGUGCUCGAUCCUCCGAGCUCUAAUCCUCCUAUAACAUCACAUGACUCUAAUUAACACUUUUUAUCUCUAAGGUUGACUAUCCCUAAGAAGUCAACACAGGUCAACUCUGGUCAACGGUCAACGAUCAACUUUGACCGGACUCGGCGAGUGCACAAGGGCAACUCGGCGAGUCUAGACGUUUCCACCAACUCUCAAGGAUUCCCUUUUUACACGUUGAGUACUCCCACUGACUCGACGAGUUCCUCCUGGCAGAAUCGCGGGGCCACCCCGACUCAACUCGCCGAGUCUCAAGAACAACUCGGCGAGUCCCAGCUCGACUCAGUCCACCUGACAACCCUCUCUAACUCGCCCUGACUCACUGAGUCAACCCAUGACUCGACUGGACCACUCACUGGCCGAUCCAAGGCAAUCUUCAAGCUACUCGCCGAGUCUGCUCAUCGGACUCGGCGAGUCCAUGCCAUGCAAUCACUCAAACUCGCUUCUAAGGUCAGAUCUGUUCCAACAAUUCAUAGAUCUAGCCUUUCUAGACUGAUUCACCACGUAAAGCCCCUAUCUUGGUGUCCAUAACACACCCCAUGGCUCAUAAAUAACAUUUUGACCUAAGGCAUAAGGGUUCCAACCCAAAACCUCCAUUGAUUCCCAAAAGGCUUGGGCAAAGGGACACUCUGGACCUACAAGGGUUCAGAUCUAUGGUCUAAAUCUCUUAAGGGACCAAGGGAGCACAAGAUCUAGCCACAAAAGGGUUCAAUAAACCCUAAAUCAAUGUAAACAUCAACAUAGAAGAGGAUAGCUCGAAAGUAUUACCACAAUAGUGAUGCUCUGGACUCCAAACCUUCAGAAGAUGGCUCCUCUUGCUUUCCCCUUAGCUGAUUUUCCCUUUCCUUGCAAAAUGACACCUCCAAGAUCAAUAAUGGCGUCCUACUUUGCUCCAAACGCUCACACUCGAUUAGGGUUUCGCUCAAGGGACUGGUGAGCACAAAUGACGGCCAUAAGGCCCUUUAAAUAGGUCCCAAACCCGAGAAAUUAGGGUUUCAUUAAAC
rnacentral:lncRNA from 1 species